rnacentral:lncRNA from 1 species
GAGAGAGUGUGGAUUUAGAGGAGUCUUCGGGAAGCUGGGGCAGCUCAAGGAUUGCGUACGCGAAAAGCUCUACACAGGACAACUCAGAAGAGACAUUUGCUGCCAUCGUAAUUCACUGUGGAAAUACUGCUGCCGCCGACGCAGCCGUGCCCUGCCCGCAGACGCCUUGCUUGUACCUGGUAAGGACAGCUCACCCAGUGGGACCAAAGAGAGAUCCCCUUCUACCAGCUUCCAGGACAGGCUUCGUAACCUCUCCCCACCUCUCGAGUUUAAUGCCCUGCUAUCACCGCCUUGAAAGCCUUAAUAAUUUUUGGAACAAAAGAUCGGCAUUUUCAAUGUCCCACACAUUGCAUAACCGUGACCAUCUCUCAUGGGUGAGGAAACGGAACUGCUGAAGCUUUGAACCUGUGUGUCUGGCCACAGACUUGCUGACCCUGGCUGUAGCCGCUACAGUUUCCUUAACUAAAUUGUCCGGGAGUGGGGAGACAGAUGGAUGCUUUUCCCACCUUCUCCACUUUCACCAUUCUAACUCCCUGAUCACUGCCUGGUCUCUCAAGACUUGGGGUUCAGUUUGGUUAAUUUAACAGAAGUCACCGGUAAAUCAGCUUUGGAAAAACGCGAGAGAGGGUGCCUCCUCUUCCCAGGCCAGAGAUGGGUCUCCCCCUAGUGUCUCCUAGGGGAAUCUUUGCUUUUGCUUUUUGUUUUCCCCUUGGAGGUGAUUUUUAGGUAAUUCCUAAAAUUUCAAGAGUUUAGCAGCCAGGGAAUUCCCAGCCAGCUUUUUGGCCCAUGGCUUCUCCCCCGCAGGGCUGGCGAUCAUAGCGUCCUUUGGUCCCUGGGUCACACCAGAGGCCAGUGCUCCUCACCUGGUGAGGUGGCUUCUGGGUGCAUGGGAAGAAUGACCCACAGGAGCCCACACCACGGUGCUGGGAAGCAGGAGUUGCCAUGGGGUUGAAUGAGCCAGGGUCACCUCAUCUCUCAGCCUGGAUUCCCAGGAUGGAGAGGUUGCCAUGGGGUUGAAUGAGCCAGGGUCACCUCGUCUGCUCCCCUCCUCCACCUUGCCUUGCAACUGCCUGAACCCUGCUUUCUCUGCAUCAGUGGUUUUCAAAUGUUGCCGUGCCUCACAAUUACCUGGAGGGCUUGUUAAAUCACUAAUUACUGGGCUCCAACUCCAGAGUUUCUGAGCCAGUUUAUCUGGGGCUGGGGAUUUUGCUUUUAUGACAAGUUCCCAGACAGUGUUGAUAUGCUGGUCCAAGGACCCUACUUCUUUAGAUGGAAGGUGGUGAUAAGAGAAGGGGGCUUCUCUGCCUUGGCCCCGCCCCCCCAAGCAGGUGAAGUUCAGUAGGACAUGACUGAGAAAAACCCAAUAGAGAGCUAUUGCGCAAUACUUUCUGCUGCGUGUUAACAAAAGAAAGCGCAGUUUGCCUUUGUGAUAUCUUAUUCUCAUCACUCCCACUUUUUCUGCAAGCACUUCUCUCGGGGUUGUUGCAGAAACCUGUAUUGCAUAUAAACAUUUGCUUGUAUCCACCCUCUGUUAUCCAUCCAUCUCUUCACAGGCUUGAGACCUGUUCCGAGAUUGCUCCCUCCAGCUUUGGGAGGGCAGUGGGCUGGGUAAGCUCCAGGGUGUGGACCAAGCCUGAGCUCUGGUGACAGCUUGGUGUGGCAAGAAGAAGGGACCUGGCAAAGAGCGUCUCACUGGAAGGCUAAGUUUGAAAUGCCAUUUGUGAAACAAUUGCCAAUAGUCACCAUCUCUAUCCCCUUCCCCCCAAGCAUGAAUUUGGGAAGCUCAGCCUGGAUUCCCAGGAUGGAGAGGCUCAUGGGAUGAGUGUCUCCUCUAGCCCUGGGAAACUGAUGACCCUCUGGAGCAGCUGGGCAUAAGCCCCUUUCCCAGUUCCUGAGCUGUCCAGAAAAAAAUGCUCAGGUUUUUCACAUUGUGGCGGAGUGGAAACGAAUCUGACUGGGGACCAUGGGACUGUGGGUUCGAUCCCUGACCUAGCUCAGUGGGUUGAGGAUCCAGCAUUGCCAUGAGCAUAGAUCACAAAUGCGGCUCAGAUCUGGCAUUGCUGUGGCUCUGGCCUAGGCUGGCGGCAACAGCUCCCACUGGGCCCCUAGCCAGGGAACCUCCAUAUGCCGCGGGUGCAACCCUUAAUAAAAGAGCCAAAAAGAAAAAAAAAUGCUCAGGUUUUGUUUUCCCUCUUUAGCUCCAAUUUGGAGGAGUGCUGGGGCUUCUCUUAGCCCUGAAGCAGGGAAGAGAUCGGGCAGGGCCAGAGCCCUCCAUUUGGCUUCUGGGAUGGGAAUAGAGAUGAAAACGGAGAUAACAUAACUUCAUGUAACCCAUCCAAAAAGUUCAUCAAGUUUAUCUUAAGGCUCAUCUCCCUGAGCUAAGAAAUGGAGGUCAAGGGAGUUAGCUGACUUUCCAAACCCCAGUAGGAGGUUCUCUGCCUGGGUCUUGCCUCUUCUGAUGCCGGAUUGGCCAGCCCAGUCCCCUUCUUCCCUGUAAGAGCAUCUUCUCCAAUCACUCACACACACACACACACACACACACACACACGCAGUUCAUUCCUCCUUUCCCAGGGAAGAAGUACUAAAUAAACUCUAAUCUCGUGGUAGGGUCAAG